rnacentral:snoRNA from 1 species
CCCUGGCAAGUGAUGAUUGAAUCAAAAAAGUAUAGUUCAUCUGAAACUCAUGAUGACCAUUAUUUCGCCCCUAUCUGAUAUGCCAUUC